rnacentral:rRNA from 1 species
UAGGGAAUCUUCCGCAAUGGACGAAAGUCUGACGGAGCAACGCCGCGUGAGUGAUGAAGGCUUUCGGGUCGUAAAACUCUGUUGUUAGGGAAGAACAAGUACGAGAGUAACUGCUCGUACCUUGACGGUACCUAACCAGAAAGCCUCGGCUAACUACGUG